rnacentral:misc_RNA from 1 species
UCUUGGUGGCCAUUUCA